UGUUUUGUGAGUGAAAGGUGAAAAGAAUUCCGAAAUGUAGGUUAAAUAGAAUUGAAUGGUGUAUGAUUAUAAGUUUAAGUAGUUGUAUAAGUGGUUGUUGAAGAAAGAAUUGUUGAGUUUCAAGU
rnacentral:rRNA from 1 species